UAAACAAGGUUUUAAACAUAAUUCUUAAACGUUUAAAAAUUAAAUGGUAUUUUACUGACAAGGAAUCAAAUAAAAUUGCUAAAUCCCUCAAUAGCGAACAAAAAAUUAUAAUAAAAGUGGUGCCCCUGCUGACAAGACCCCCCUCGAGAUUUCUAGCUGGAUCCUCUAUUCAUUUUUUUUUUUUCAUUUUCAUUCUUUCAAAAUUUGACAGAAAACUGCGUUUGUUCGCGAAGACUUGGAUUCCCUUAACCUAUAUUCAAUCACGACCACUAGAUGCCACGAUAUGUUUUUUUUUAAUAUUUUUUAUACCAGCCGAUAGAGGGUUGAGGUUGAGGCAGGGAAACUCGCCAAGUAAAGCAAAGUCCAUUUCUUUCCAAUACGCCAAGCUUUGAGGGUAUCUGGGUAUCUGGGGAUUUGACAUUUCUUCGACUUUUAACUUAUUUUAGACUUUUCUCCUUUUCUUUCGGCAUUCAAAUUUUGCUCCAUUGCCAUUCUAAUCCUCAUCCUCGCUGAUGCUACAAUCGGAGAAAGCGUUCGAAAGAUCGCUAUCUUCGUCCGAGGUGUUGUUGUUCCUCGCCUCCAAUGCCAACUCGGCCUUUUUGGCUUUCUUCUUUCGAAGACUUCUUUCGUUUGUGUUCCCGUUCAACUGUGUUUUUUUUGUACAAAUUUUAAUUUUUUAACCGUACAAUGAAAGACAGACACAGUUUAAUUUUUUACAAGUGUUUUUAUUAUCGACAAAACACAGGAAUUGAUACAAUUUUUAAGACUCAAUGAGUCAUCGGCUCCGAAACCAGAUCGAGUUUCUUAGCCGCCUCUUUGAGCGUUUCGACCGCCUUGUCUUGCUUAAUCGAACUCAUGGCCAGAUUUUUCAGGAUCUCUUCUUCCUCUUCCGCCGUGAGUAUGAGCUCUGGCUCUGACUCGGAUUCUCGACACAGUAAUUUUUUGACAUCUGAGUUGUUUCCACUCAUCCUCUUCAACUCUUCUCUUGAAUUUCUCUGCAUUGCUCUGCUCUGCUCCAUAGGCAUCUACUCGUCAUCCUCGUCGAGGCUACAAUCCGAGAAAGCGCUCGAAAGGUCGCUGUCCUCAUCCGAGGUGUUGUUGUUCGCCUCCAAAGCCAACUCGGCCUUUUUGGCUUUCUUGUGUGCACAUUUACAUCUCACAACAUGGUAGAAGCCUCAUUACAGAGGCUUAGCAUCUUUCUCAUCUUGUUAAAUUGCCACUGCACAUCGAGAACAAUCUCCGCCAACCUGUCACAAAAUAAAUUUGAUUAGUUAAAGAAACUUUUCAAAUCAUUAUUAACUAAGGUUCAUGUGUUUGCAAGCUCAAUUCAAGUGCAUCUCAAUUGAAAAAAUUCACAUACCUUAUCACAGAAAAUAUUUGCAAAUAUUGUGUAAUUUUAGUUUACUAAUGUAUGAUAAUUGGUAAUAAAAAAGCUUAAUUUUUA